CCCUCUAUACUACAACAGAAGAACAGGUCUUUAUCUUUUCUCUUUCUUUCUUCAUGUCUAAUGAGUAACCCACUAGUUCCAGUAAAGCAGGUCUCUGGGCGUGUCGAUGCUUGCUGCAGUCUGCCUGACUGUCUUUUGCAGCAUGAGUGAUGUUAUUUGUGGCUGCACAUGAUAAGACAUCUUCCUGCGUGUGUUCGUGUGUAUGUGUAUGUGUGUGUGUGUGUGUGUGUGUGUGUUCUUAGUCUAUUUGCAAUGGAAUAAAGGACGCUCCGCCCACCUUUGCCUGUGAGCUUCACUGACAGGCAGGUCAGAGCCAGGUCAGAAACUGAAGGAAAUUCUAGGGAACAUAGGAAACCAUAAAGCGUAAAGGAACUCUACACCAGAACGCCCACUGCAAAACCUGGAAAUACCCAGCUCUCUCUCUGCCAGUCAGCUGGAGCCUUCUCUGAAUCACCAGCCUCACUCUAUGCCAUACUCAGUCUGCACCGUUUGGAUCCGGACUCUUAAUCCAACCCCAGCCGCACUCUGCAUCAAAUUAUUAUUGUGUCAAAUAAAUUGUCUUACUUAUUCUA